rnacentral:rRNA from 1 species
UCCGGUUGAUCCCGCCAGAGGUUACUGCUAUCGAGGUUCGACUAAGCCAUGCGAGUCGAAUGUAGCAAUACAUGGCGUACUGCUCAGUAACACGUGGACAACCUACCCUCAGGUCGGGGAUAAACCCGGGAAACUGGGUAUAAUACCCGGUAGAUCUCGGCUGCUGGAAUGCAUCGAGCUCUAAAGCUCCGGCGCCUGAGGAUGGGUCUGCGGCCUAUCAGGUAGUAGUGGGUGUAGCGUACCUACUAGCCUACGACGGGUACGGGUUGUGAGAGCAAGAGCCCGGAGAUGGAUUCUGAGACACGAAUCCAGGCCCUACGGGGUGCAGCAGGCGCGAAAACUUUACAAUGCUGGAAACAGUGAUAAGGGAACCUCGAGUGCCAGGUUACAAAUCUGGCUGUCGUGAUGCCUAAAAAGCAUUGCAUAGCAAGGGCCGGGCAAGACCGGUGCCAGCCGCCGCGGUAACACCGGCGGCUCGAGUGGUAACCGUUAUUAUUGGGUCUAAAGGGUCUGUAGCCGGCCGGAUAAGUCUCUUGGGAAAUCUGGCAGCUUAACUGUCAGGCUUUCAGGAGAUACUGUCUGGCUCGAGGCCGGGAGAGGUGAGAGGUACUUCAGGGGUAGGGGUGAAAUCUCGUAAUCCUUGAAGGACCACCAGUGGCGAAGGCGUCUCACCAGAACGGACCUGACGGCAAGGGAC